rnacentral:rRNA from 1 species
AUUGAACGCUGGCGGAAUGCUUUACACAUGCAAGUCGAACGGCAGCACGGACUUCGGUCUGGUGGCGAGUGGCGAACGGGUGAGUAAUACCUCGGAACGUGCCCAAUCGUGGGGGAUAACGUAGCGAAAGCUACGCUAAUACCGCAUACGAUCUAAGGAUGACAGCGGGGGAUCGCAAGACCUCGCGCGAUUGGAGCGGCUGAUGGCGGAUUAGGUAGGUGGUAGGGUAAAGGCCUACCAAGCCGACGAUCUGUAGCUGGUCUGAGAGGAUGAUAAGCCACACUGGGAGUGAGACACUGCCCAGAUUCGUACGAGAGUCAGAAGUGUGGAAUUGUAGAGUAUGGAGGAGAGUUUGAGCAAGCCAUUCCGUGUGCAGCAUUAAGGUCCUCGGGUUGUAAACCGGUUUUGUCCAGAGCGAAAGGGCUCUGGUUAAUACCUAGGGCUCAUUACGGUAAUGUAAGAAGAAGCACCGGCUAACUACGUUUCAUCCGCCGCGGUAA